AUUGAACGCUGGCGGCAGGCCUAACACAUGCAAGUCGAACGAGUGGCGGACGGGUGAGUAAUGUCAGGGAAACUGUCUGAUGGAGGGGGAUAACUACUGGAAACGGUAGCUAAUACCGCAUACCAUCGGAUGUGCCCAGAUGGGAUUAGCUAGGAGGUUGGGUAACGGCUCACCUAGGCGACGAUCCCUAGCUGGUCUGAGGGGAUGACCAGCCACAGGGUAACUGAGACGCGGUCCAGACUCCUACGGGAGGCAGCAGUGGGGAAUAUUGCACCAUAUGGUCAAGCCUGAUGCAGCCAUGCCGCGUGUAUGAAGAAGGCCUUCGGGUUGUAAAGUACGUUCAGCGGGGAGGCAUUAGCCGCAGGAGAAGCACCGGGUAACUCCGUGCCAGCAGAAGCGGUAAUAG
rnacentral:rRNA from 1 species